UACGGGGGGGGCGAGCGUUAUUCGGAAUUAUUGGGCGUAAAGGGCGCGUAGGCGGCCUGGUAAGUCAAAGGUGAAAUCCCUCGGCUCAACUGAGGAACUGCCUUUGAAACUGUCAGGCUUGAGGCCGGGAGGGGGUAGCGGAAUUCCCAGUGUAGCGGUGAAAUGCGUAGAUAUUGGGAGGAACACCAGUGGCGAAGGCGGCUACCUGGACCGGUUCUGACGCUGAGGCGCGAAAGCGUGGGGAGCAAACAGG
rnacentral:rRNA from 1 species